UCUCCGUAGGUGAACCUGCGGAGGGAUCAUUACACAAAUAUGAAGGCGGGCUGGAACCUCUCGGGGUUACAGCCUUGCUGAAUUAUUCACCCUUGUCUUUUGCGUACUUCUUGUUUCCUUGGUAGGCUUGCCUACCAUUAGGACCACACAAAACCUUUUGUAAUUGCAGUCAGCGUCAGAAAUAACUUAAUAGUUACAACUUUCAACAACGGAUCUCUUGGUUCUG
rnacentral:misc_RNA from 1 species